rnacentral:lncRNA from 1 species
GCCAGAAUGAGGGGGAGGCGUGGUUUGAGUGAGCGAUUGACAGGGAGGAGAAACAAAUGGACAAGGAAAGAAAGGGGAAUGUGAAAUAGAGGAUAGAAGCUUGUCUUGGGGAAAGAAGGGACUUAGGAAGAGAGCCAGUGUGCUCACUUACUCCAGCAAGUAGGGGUCCUGGCAGGGAUGGAACACUUGCUGCUGUGGAGCCCAUAAGUGGCUGCCUAGUUCUGGAGGCUGGGAAGUCCAAGACCAAGAUGCUGGCAGGUUUGGUGUCUGGUGGGAGCCUACUUCCUAGAUGGCCAUCUUGUUGCUGUAACCUCACAUGGUGGAAGGGACAAGGGAGUUUCCUUGGGCUUCUUUUAUAAGGACACUAAUCUCACGCAUGAGAGCUUUACCCAGAUGAUCUAAUCACCUCCUAAUACUGUUGCCUUGGGGGUUAGGUUUCAGCAUAUGAAUUUUGGAGGAACGCAAACGUUCAGACCAUAACAGAACCAUAAAGGACUCACUGCUUAGGUCAUGUCAAAUGCGUGCAGGUGAAGUGAUCACCCCUUUAUUCUUCAGGACUGAAGCAGACCACAGCCUUCUAUCUUGUCUCUUAGACUGGCUUGCCUGCCCUCCCUUAUUGUUUUAAACUGUGUUUAACCAUUCUUCUGAUUGGUGUGCAGGAUCCCUAUAACUUAGAUGUUCAUUUAAUCUAUACAUGAUGCGGAAGCCAAGGGAGAAUUCAGAGAAUUUGAAAGGUAAUUACGAAGUUGUUUGAAUUCUCUGGCGUCUACAUAAAGCUUUGGUACCACUUGGCUGCACCACUGAAGGCUCUGCAAUCAGCUUCGGGGCAAAGUUCGCGCAUUCACCCAGAAGCUUGGUCUCAGAGCCCAUGGAAAAGGACUGUACCGGGUACUUCAGACUAUUGACGCUUCAAAGAAUAGAUCUUGGGUACAGGCUUCUGAUGUCAUCGCAUAAACAACUUUAAGACCAUACCAGUGGGCUGAGUCAGGAUUUCCAGAACUGUUUUUAGUCAAAAAGCAGAUGGGUUUGUGACACUGCUAACCCAAGAUCCAGCAGAGCAAGAAUUGAUUACGUAGGACCGGAUGAACCAAGGAGAGAUGAUUGUAGCUAUUUGUUUGGAAUAUUGUUGAUGUUGUUUUAAUGUUCUGUUUUCUGGAUAUGUAAGGAAGCCCCUUCUCUUUCUUAUUAAGUUAUCUAUGACCCAUAACAAUUUAGUAGAUUCUGAUUUUGUAAACUGAAAUGGAACAUUUUUAUAUAUUAUCUUAUUCUCCCUGCCUGACCACCACUCCAAAUUCAGAAAUUUGUAUUAAGUAUUCUUAGUUUUAAAUGGCUAUGUAGUUAUUUGCAUAGGUUCAGUAAGAAUCUACCCUCCCUUUUACUAGAUAUAAUUGGAAAAAUUGGUUAUGCAACCAAGGCAUUGUCUGGAAUGUCUUAUUUGAGAGUGAUACUUAUUUAAUUGGGUAUGACCAGCCACUGCUUUUUUUUCUCCAAAACUAUGUUAAAAUCUCAUUGCAUUCAACUGUUCACCCCAAAUUAUGGAGUAUGAACUAGCCAUUUGCACUUUUUCCUCUGUAAAAUGGCUCUCCCUACAAAAUACUUUUUAUUUUUAAUAAUACUGGCAAUAAGCUACUCAUUUCCUUUACUUCAGACACAAAAUUCAAGAUAAACUGUUUUCCAUCUCUUAAUUCAUUUGGAUUUCUCCAACUUUCCUCCAUGCUGCUUACAUAGGAAACAAAACUGAUAUUAAAAACAUUCAUUUAUAUUUCAAUUACUUUGUUAAUUAUGAUUAGCUGUUCAAAGUGGUACUAUUAGUCUCGUCUCCUUCUUUAAUAGCCUUCAUUAUAGACACAAAGACCUAAGUCCAUUUAUUGGUUCUCUUCUGCAUCUGAGUGGCUACAAUAAGCUAAACAGCUUUUCUGGCAUGAUAUCCUCUGCCAAUUUACUGAGAAGCUGUGCUAUGUGAACAAAGCCUAUCUGUAGGAAAAUUUCUUCAUAUCAUUGAAGGAUUCCUAGCCCAGUUCUAAAUAAAAAUUCGUCCUCAUCUCUGCAAAAUACAUCCCAGACUGGACAGGCCAGAUCAAGCAGAAUAGUGAUUUAUGAUUCUGUGUGAAGAUCCAGCCUAUCAAGUAUACAUCUGGUGUAAGAUCAUAAGACUUGAUGUGAAGAAACAGUUUGAAGAGAGUGUCUUCAAAGAAUACUUCAAAUAUUCCAAAAUGUUUCAACAUCUUGCUGCAAUCCACACAGAAAAAAGUCAGCUGGCAUGGCUUAUUCAUGAGAUUUCCAAAUGCCAUGAAGAAGCAUCUGCCUCUUCCAAAUUGAGAGCACUGACACAAUGAAGGACAUCCGUGGGACGUAACCAACAUCAGGUCUGUAACAUGAAUAUGCUCCUAAGAUACUGUGUAAAGCAUCAUGAUAUUGGCCAUCCUUCUGAAAUAUGUAGAGAGAGGGAAAGGCAUAGGAUAUGUCCAGCUUACUUCCAGACCAGCAUCUGGAUCAUCAACAGAUACACAUUCUGUGUCAUACAGAAUAUAUUCAGAGACAAGUUGUUUCACCAAAGCUUUUCCAACAUUCGUUUCCUCUGGGGAGGAAUGUUUCAUAGAGUUCAGGAGUGAUAUUUACUUCACUUCCUACAGCUAGACUCCAGACUUUACCAUGAACACUAGGGGGCAAUCCCCGCGCCUGAAUUCUCCAACCUUUCUCCUACUGUGCAUUACUUCCCAAUUGGGCAGUAUUUCACUGGUCCAAAUUACCACUGCAUCUGCAAUAUUGCCUUCUUACUUAAAUUUUUUUUUUAGUGCACUGCUUUAAUUUUUCAAUUUUGAGACUCAGCUUAAAGGUCUGAUGUUCUUGUCAGCGAGGUAAAGCUACUUCCACAGAUUUGACAGGAAGAUUUCCCUGGCAUAGGCAAAAUUUUCCUAAACAGGACGCAAAAGCAAUCAGCAAUCAUUUGAUGGCCCAUACUCAAGAAUCAGAACGGUGGUAGGAAGUGGCUCAAAUUCAAAAUUCUUAUGUCUUGAAGACUGAAACAGUGGUUCAUGGGUCCUCUCUGUUCAUGCAUCAUAUUUCUACUGAAUGGCUUUUGGAAGUUUUCUGAAGAUUCUCUCUGGGACGGACUUUACCAAAUAAUUUCCAGCCGGGAACACUAUGAACAACUGAUCUGAGCUCCUUUUGUCCUCUUUUGGAAAAGGUUUUAGACAAUCAGGGGCAGAUGGAGGGGCACUCUGGAAGGACGGGAAGGGGAUUGCAUCCAAUGAGUCCCAGCUGCUCCAAGUCCAUGGUCUUUGGUGUCUGCAGCCACCAAGCAGCUGCUUUGCAGAGGACAGGCUGCUCAUGCCAGCAGUGACCUCAUUGCCAGGUCCCUCCAGCUGAAUAUAAUGGCGGUGGCGAAGGAGGGGGUUCCCUGCAGACCUGGGGAAGGUGUUGCUGGCAGCUGACCGCUUUUAGGGAACGAAGGUUGACUUUAUGGAGACAGUGUUGACAAAGCCCUCCAGGUACUUGGCUUACUGGGUCCAGUCUUAGAGCUGGUAAGGAAAGUUACUUCCACUGCAGACCAGAGGCCUAGAGAUGCUUUGAGGACUUUGAGAAGAGAGGAAGUUACCCAAAAUGUAGAGGUACUGCAGAUGAAAUCUGGUGGAUAGAGUUUCUUGGACUUGACUUCCUAGCCACAAGACAGCAAGUAAUAGAGGCUUUUAGAAGUCCAACCUGAGAUUCUUUCGGAAACUUCCAGCAGAGUAACCUUAAAGAAGUCCUAUAUGGUAAAUUAACAUUCUUGCUGUACCUAUGCAAAUAAUCAGGCCAAAUCUAAUGAGACCAGACUCAUUUUGUGAUUAAGAAUCUUUGAGUCUUUUUGGUCAAAAGUGGGGAAAAGGUAGGGAAAAAUUUAUGCUUAAAUAGAAGAUUACGUGUUGUCAUUCUAAGCGUGCCUGAUUGUCUGAUUCUGGUUCUGUAAAUUGUAGAUGACUGACAGCAGUGCUAAAUCAAUCUUGUCCAUAGACAUGGAACCAAAUUCUGUUCAGGGGAGAAACAACCAGAAAACCAGUUUUGGCUCUAUUUGCCAUUCAUUUCAAUAUUCCUGACCUAGAACUGUGUCUGUUCUUGGGAAUUUCCUUUGACCUGGCAUAACACUUCACUAGUUUCCUCAUGAAUGAGUUAAAGUAAAAUCUUCAACAAGUGUUUAUUCUUAUAUCUGUUUGAGAGUCAUGAUUUUACCCACUUUUGAAUAUUAUCUUUUAACAUCUACUUGGAACUAAACCAACAUUUAGUGGCUGAUUUAAACAGGGACAGUCUUGUGCAGACCAUGAUGAGUUGAUCACCCCGUUUCACUGGGCCCCAAGCGCCUGUUAAAGACUGUUCCUUCUUCUCUACACAAGCAGCAGCUGAACAUCAGCUGGCUAUGCACUCUAGAAAG